rnacentral:tRNA from 2 species
CGGGGACUGGCUCAACGGUAGAGCGCACGGUUCGGGACCGUGAGGCUCCGGGUUCGAUUCCCGGGUCCCCGACCA